rnacentral:rRNA from 1 species
UACGAAGGGGGCUAGCGUUGCUCGGAAUCACUGGGCGUAAAGGGCGCGUAGGCGGACUCUUAAGUCGGAGGUGAAAGCCCAGGGCUCAACCCUGGAACUGCCUUCGAUACUGAGAGUCUUGAGACCGGAAGAGGUAAGUGGAACUGCGAGUGUAGAGGUGAAAUUCGUAGAUAUUCGCAAGAACACCAGUGGCGAAGGCGGCUUACUGGUCCGGUUCUGACGCUGAGGCGCGAAAGCGUGGGGAGCAAACAGG